AGAUUAUUUGCUAGAGCAUCGCAUUUGUAAUGCGAUGGUCAUCGGUUCGAUUCCGAU
rfam:Nicotiana attenuata strain TT chromosome 4, whole genome shotgun sequence.